rnacentral:tRNA from 1 species
GUCUAAAUAGUUUAAUUUAAAAAAUACUGAUUUGUGGUGUCAGUGAUGUGAUUGGUUGCUUUGGACU